CUUUGACCUACGGCAACCCUAUGAAAGAAAGACCUCCAAAAUAUCCAGUCCAUGACAGGUCCAGAUGGCUUUCUUUAUGGAUUCAAUGCAUCUCAUAUUUGGUCUUCCCUUUUGUCUUCUGCCUUUGAUUUUCCCGUAACACAUGUUAUUGUGUUCUCUGAGCUCAUGACCAGUGUUUUGGAAGUUGGCAGGUGACUUCUUGCUGUACAGCACCAGGCAAGUCAAAUUCCUCACUGAAAGGGGUAUAAGCCAUUCAAGAGGACCCUCUCAGUGGUGCAG